GAUGAACGCUGGCGGCGUGCCUAAUACAUGCAAGUCGAGCGAACGGACGAGAAGCUUGCUUCUCUGAUGUUAGCGGCGGACGGGUGAGUAACACGUGGAUAACCUACCUAUAAGACUGGGAUAACUUCGGGAAACCGGAGCUAAUACCGGAUAAUAUUUUGAACCGCAUGGUUCAAAAGUGAAAGACGGUCUUGCUGUCACUUAUAGAUGGAUCCGCGCUGCAUUAGCUAGUUGGUAAGGUAACGGCUUACCAAGGCAACGAUGCAUAGCCGACCUGAGAGGGUGAUCGGCCACACUGGAACUGAGACACGGUCCAGACUCCUACGGGAGGCAGCAGAAGGCAAUCUUCCGCAAUGAGCGAAAGCCUGACGGAGCAACGCCGCGUGAGUGAUGAAGGUCUUCGGAUCGUAAAACGCUGUUAUUAGGGAAGAACAUAUGUGUAAGUAACUAUGCACAUCUUGACGGUACCUAAUCAGAAAGCCACGGCUAACUACGUG
rnacentral:rRNA from 1 species